rnacentral:lncRNA from 1 species
AUGUUUUGUUUGGCAAGAACCAUUUCUUUGAACAAUUUCUUAUUAAUCAUCUAUAAUUUUUCACUUCUGACAGUGUUAUCACCAGUGCUUUCAGUAACUGCAUAUUUAUACAACAGCCAAACUUCAACCUGUAUUCAGUUUUUAUCUGUCUCCUGGGAAUGUAAUUUGGAAAAAAAGUUACCAAUGUAUUUACAACCAAAUUUCAGAUCUUCAACAUUACAGAAGAGUAAGAGAUUGCAGAUUGCUUCUGUGGACUUAUUGAAGGUGGAUCUGGCUGUUGGUGGAGAUCCCUAGACUGCGUGAGGCCAUGGGCAUGAUCUGGAGACACAGCAGGUGAGUCCAACAUGUCAAGGGCAGAUGACAAUGAACAGAAAAAGCUGGUCUUGCUACUUUCUCAGUAACAGUGACUAGCAGUGUGUAUGAGGAGAUCAAAAUUCUAAAGGUUCCCACAAAUUUCUCAGUUUCCUAUUUAGGGCUUCAGGUCUUUGCAGAUAAUCUUCCAGAUAUGGUCUUUGUCUGUUUUCCUUAUUUUUCUG